rnacentral:rRNA from 1 species
UACGUAGGAGGCAAGCGUUGUCCGGAAUUACUGGGUGUAAAGGGCGGGUAGGCGGUACUGCAAGUCAGAUGUGAAAUUCCCAGGCUCAACCUGGGGGCUGCAUCUGAUACUGUGGGCCUUGAGUGCUGGAGAGGAUAGCGGAAGUCCUAGUGUGACGGUGAAAUGCGUAGAUAUUAGGAGGAACACCAGUGGCGAAGGCGGCUUUCUGGAAAGUAACUGCCGCUGAGGCGCGAAAGCGUGGGGAGCAAACAGG